GAAUACCAUUCAAGCAGAGAAAUUAGCAAGCUUAGUUCAGAUGUUUGAAGAAUUGCAGUUUCAUGAGUCCUUAGCUACACAGAAUGCGACUCAUCCAAUUGCGGAUCCGUGAUCUAGAGAAGAACAAGGGAGACUAGAACCAAAUAAUGAUAGUAAAAGGUUGUCUCUCUUUCUCUACAUCUUUUGCAUAAAAAAACUCAUAACAGUUAACUAUUUUUUGGAAUGAAGUAAGUAGAGAAUGACAAUAUACCAAAUGCCUAGAGGUAAGAGGAAAGGAUCAUUGGUAUAUUGUCAAUUCUCAUUCUCUCUA